UACGUAGGGUGCAAGCGUUAAUCGGAAUCACUGGGCGUAAAGCGUGCGCAGGCGGUUUUGUAAGUCUGUCGUGAAAGCCCCGGGCUCAACCUGGGAAUUGCGAUGGAGACUGCAAGGCUUGAAUCUGGCAGAGGGGGGUAGAAUUCCACGUGUAGCAGUGAAAUGCGUAGAGAUGUGGAGGAACACCGAUGGCGAAGGCAGCCCCCUGGGUCAAGAUUGACGCUCAUGCACGAAAGCGUGGGGAGCAAACAGG
rnacentral:rRNA from 1 species